rnacentral:rRNA from 1 species
GAUGAACGCUGGCGGCGUGCCUAAUACAUGCAAGUCGAGCGAACAGACGAGGAGCUUGCUCCUCUGACGUUAGCGGCGGACGGGUGAGUAACACGUGGAUAACCUACCUAUAAGACUGGGAUAACUUCGGGAAACCGGAGCUAAUACCGGAUAAUAUAUUGAACCGCAUGGUUCAAUAGUGAAAUACGGUUUUGCUGUCACUUAUAGAUGGAUCCGCGCCGCAUUAGCUAGUUGGUAAGGUAACGGCUUACCAAGGCAACGAUGCGUAGCCGACCUGAGAGGGUGAUCGGCCACACUGGAACGGAGACACGGUCCAGACUCCUACGGGAGGCAGCAGUAGGGAAUCUUACGCAAUGGGCGAAAGCCUGACGGAGCAACGCCGCGUGAGUGAUGAAGGUCUUCGGAUCGUAAAACUCUGUUAUUAGGGAAGAACAAAUGUGUAAGUAACUAUGCACGUCUUGACGGUACCUAAUCAGAAAGCCACGGCUAACUACGUG